UCGAAAUACCAAGAAAGAACUAUAUUUAUCGAGCUAGAUUAAUCGUCAGUAAAGUGUAGUACUUGCGGAAAAAAUAGAAAAAAUUGAAAGAAUAGGACGCAUGGAUUUUUAAUCUAUUUUAAUCCAAAAUUUACUUAUCUAGCUAUAGGACAUAGCUUAUGUGUGUACGACUAAAAUCGAAUUAGCCAUCAUCAAAUUAAUGCUAAAAAUAAAGCACCUAUGGAAAUUUAAAUCACAGCAGAACAGCUAUUAAGAGAAGCAAAGAAGAGAGAGAGAAGGAAAGAGAAAGACAAAGAGAAAGAUCAAGAAAUUUUAUCUCUUCCACCUGAACAAAAUAUCUUUAAUGAUAUAAUGCAUACGUUUGAAAGAUAAUAUAUCUCUGAAUAUUUUUAGAAAGAUUAUGGUAUAUUCGUUUAUUUGUUUAAAAGUUAUUAUAUCUUGAAAAUAAGUGAAAAUGACUGAAAAAGAAGAAAUUCGACAUAUUUUGAAGUUUUAUUACAAAAAAAGAAAAAAUGCCACAGGCUGCUAAACAAAUUUGUGAUGUUAUGGAUUCGAUGCAGUAUCAGUAUAUCUGGUACAAAGCGUUCAAUCUGGUACAAAUCUAGUUCAAGCGUUCUCAAUCUGAAAAUUUUGAUAUUAAUGAUACAUUUUACUCUGGUUUACCAAUGAUGGAAAAAGUCGAUGAAAUCAGAAAAAAUUGUACAAAACUGGCACAUUAAGAGUUAUAAUGUCUAAAAAGAACUCGCCACAUAAUUUAACAAUGAAAAAUUUAAUGGAUCAAAUCUUUAUCUAUGCUAAAACAGAAUGAAAUCAAAUCAUUUUGAAAUAGUUUAUUAUAGGUGAUGACAAAUGGAUCACGUACAAUAAUAAUAUAUGGAAAAGAUUGUGGUUAAAGGAAAAUGAAGCUUCACAAAUGGUGGCAAAGUCAGGAUUGACGACGCUAAGUGUCUGUGAUGAAAUCGUAAAGGAAUUGUUCGCUAUGAACUACUGCUCUAUCGAGAUAAAACAACCAGAAUGGAUCAACAGUAAAGGUGUUAGCUUUCAUUAUGACAAUGUAACACCCUACACAUCAUAGAUAGUCCAUCAAAGACAGGGAAUUUGGUUCAGAAAUUAUAAUACAUCCAUCAUAUAGUCCUGACAUUGCACCGUUAGAGUACCAUUUGUUUCAAUCUUUACAGAAUUCUCUUAACGAUGUAAAGUUGGCUGCAAAAGAGGCAUGUGAAAAUCAUUUGAUAAAGUUUCUCAUCCAGAAAAAUAUAGAAAUUCUACAAUGAUGGGAUUAUAAUUUUACCUCAAAAAUGGCAAAAAAUGAUCGAUCCAAAUGACACAUAUCUGGUGUAAUACAGUUCAUUUGAAAUAUAAAAACUUAUUAAUUAUAACUAACUGUAUAAAAUAUGCUCACUAAGCAAUCAGAUCACAAGAAACCAAUUGAGAUAUCAAGGUACUUUGAAUAGAACAAAUUUUUAAUUUUGUAGUAUUAUGAUAGAUUGUGAUUGAAUCCUGGGAUGUUUUACUGUAGCAAGGAUGUUUUACUGUUGCGGUCGUACCAGGAUAUUCUUGGUACAAGUAUGUGAUGGUUAUUUAGGCAGGGAAACUUAACACUGCUUAUCUUACUGCACUUUUCACUCAUCUAUAAACAUUUUGUUUUAUCUGAAGGAAAAGUCAUUCUUUCCAUACAAGCAAUGAAUUUAUUAUUGACAUUUAUUACCUUUUAUUUUUUAUAUUUCUAAAAGCUAUAUCCUCAAAUGUCUAAAAGAAGAUGUGAGUCUAACAAUUAUAAGGAUGUGCAAAGAAAUAGUGAUGAAUUUUAUAUAGAUUAUCAUGACAAGUCGAAUGAUUAUAUUAAUAAUGAUGAUUUCAAUGAUAACUUGGAUGAUAAUAAUGAUAUUAUAGUGCCUAGAAGAAAAUGUAUAGUGCAAUUACAUUCAAGUGGCAAUGACAUUGAAAUAACAUUAGAAAAUAGUAUUCAAAGUAUAUGGCAAGAUGUUAUACAUGAAAAUGUUAAAUUACUAAAAAUAGAAUUUUUAGUAGGAUCAAGAAGUCCCAGUGCACACAUUUCUGCAACAUACACAGACCCAAUUGAUUUUUUUCAUCAGGUUUUUUACUGAUGAGUUGCUUGAAGAUAUUGUAAAAGAAACAAAUCAAUAUGCCAAGUUAUCAUGUUGUUCGAUAUGGAAUAGUUGGAUAGAUGUGACAGUGACAAAAAUAAUAGCAUUUAUACUCAACAUGGGUAUUGUAAAAUUACCAGAUGAGGAAUAGUAGUCAUUGCAUCAAUAUAAUUCGAAAAUACUAUUUUUUUUGGAUAUAUUUUGGAGAGUAAGAUUUUUCCAAAUUUAUUGGAUGUUAUAUUUAAAUACAAAUACUUCAAAUGAUAGAAUAAGAAUUUAAAAAGCUAGUGACUUCUUAAAUUAUACUGAAGCUACAUUCAAAAACUAUUUUGUUUCAACUAAAGAAAUUUCAAUCGAUGAAUCUGUCAUAAAAUUCAAAGGAAGAAUUAGUUUUGUUACUUAUAACACUAAGAAAUCAACGAAAUGGGAAAUUUGUAUUUAUAUAUUGACAGAUUCUGAUACCAGAUACAUUCAUUUUAUUCAUACUAUGGAAGUUCUACUACAGAAUCAUUGAUACAUUCCAAUCUCCCAGUAACUACCACAAGAAUUGUAUUACAUCUGUAUAUAAAAUUAUUACAUUCCAAUCCUGAUACUCGAAAUUAUAUUUAUAUUGAUAGAUUUUAUGCAAGUAUAACAUUGGCCCAUGAAUUAUUAAAAUUGAAAUAUUAUGCUAUUGGAAUAAUAAACCAAAAUCAAAUAUACGUAGUCUACAUAUAACAAAAUCUUACAUUGAUCAAGCAUGAAUGUUUUUGGCUGUCGAUUUGGAGAAACAUUCGUACUAUUAUAGAAAGAUAAAAGAAUUAUAAUAAAUAAUUUCCGAAUAUAAUAAAUAUAUGGAUGGCGUCGAUCGACUUGGGUUUAGAAAUUUAUUCUGCGAAUAGCUAUAUAUUAUAUAAACAGAUGUUGUAAUAAGAAGGCAAAACACCCAUAUGACAUCUAAAAUUUAUUAGAAAAUUGAUAGAUCAAUUGGUGGGUAAUUGAGAUAUGUGAUGGAUCUCAGACUUCGUAUGGUAGACUAUCAAUCUCGGAUAAAGAAGAGCUAUUCAACAGAAAAUUACAUAUUCUACAACAAAAUCAAGGAAAUUUGAGCAAGGAGUAUUUCGUUUGUUCUGAUAAGAAAAAAGGCCAAAGACGAGAAUCCCGAUACCACUAUGAAACAUGUACAAGAAAACUGUGAUUGCUCAUUUGGGGAUUACUUUGAUAUAUAUCAUAUUAAAGAAAAUUUCUAUAAAAUAUUGAAUAUCGAAAUAAUAAAUAAUAUACACAUAGUUUAAA